AACGUAGGAGACGACCGUUAUCCGGAGUUACUGGGCGUAAAGGGCGUGCAGGCGGUCUGAUAAGUUCGGCGUGAAAUAUUCCGGCUUAACCGGGAUAGGUCGUCGGAGACUGUCGGACUAGAGGGUGAUAGAGGCGUGUGGAAUUCCGGGUGUAGUGGUGAAAUGCGUAGAUAUCGAGAGGAACACCAGUGGCGAAGGCGAGUCUCUGGACGACUCCUGACACUGAGGCACGAAAGCCAGGGGAGCAAACAGG
rnacentral:rRNA from 1 species